rnacentral:lncRNA from 1 species
CCCCAAUCUAAAAGUAGGGGGAUUAUUACCAGAACCCGGAGCUAAGGAGACAAAACCGACCCACAAUGUGACAAAAGAAUGGACAAUAAUCGUGGCACCUCGGGAGCUUGAACUCCAAAGAGAAGCUGAGAUUGUCCACAACCAGUUGCUGUGGGACUAUCUGCGCCCUGAGAAGCACUCCUUCCCGGACCCUAGAUUACAGAGAAUGGCGUGGGAGAACCCACCGUUGAGCCCUUGGGACUAUGGGAAAAGUUUUGGUUCUGUGAGUUGCGGCUUGUUGCCUGAGUUAAGAUUGUUUGAUCCUAUAAGCAAUGUGCUGAAGGAAGAAGGUGGUAAUAAAAGCGACAGUUUGAAACUUAAAACGUCUCCUUAUUUCCCACGGAAACUGAGGAGUUGCCCAGAGAGAGUAAAGAACCCAAUCACAGAGGCUCUUUGCUACAACUCUUUGGUGGGUCACCCGCGCUCCGGCAGCGGUGUUGAUCUAAGGAUGGAGCAGACCCAGCGCAGGCAUCCAGUUACUCUCAAGGAAGCCCUUGCAACCGGCAUCAGAUCCCUCCUCUUCACUUCUAUCCUCUUGUUCAUAACAUUCUGUUACCAGAUUGUUAUCCUCUUGAAACUCCUCCAGAGUUUCACUUUUAUUCAAAACCUCUGUGACUCCAUCAAGAGAUGUUUCAGGCGCCUCUUUGCUGCCCGUGAAAGGCCACCCCAGCUUUCCAGCGCCCAGGCGAAGGUCUAUCAGCGAAGACCAGCAGAGGGGCAAGUGCCUGAGAGAACAAGGAUUGGGAGAAGUCUCUCCACUCCCAUUGAGGUCUGGCAUCUCCCAUUCCUGAGCCUCCCCAAAAAAGAAGACCUGGAGGCUCACUUGAGGAGAAGAACUGCCCAGCAUAGGUGGGGACUUCCCAGACGGGUUCUUCAGUCCUUGGGGGCCCUUCUGCCUCCCGAAGCUCCUUCCCAAGUGGAUUUGGGACACAGAAUGUGGCUUCCGAGGUCCCCACAGGCCCUGACUGCUGAGAUUGAAAAACAGAAGAGGCGAAGUGAAGAGGAGGAAGUCCAUCGGGGGCCCCUGGAUCAAAAAGGAUCACUACCCAUCAUUUGGGGUCACCGGAGGGGGAGAGAUCACUACAUCUGA